CCUACGGGGGGCAGCAGUGAGGAAUAUUGGUCAAUGGACGAGAGUCUGAACCAGCCAAGUAGCGUGAAGGAUGACUGCCCUAUGGGUUGUAAACUUCUUUUAUAUGGGAAUAAAACGUUCCACGUGUGGGAUUUUGUAUGUACCAUAUGAAUAAGGAUCGGCUAACUCCGUGCCAGCAGCCGCGGUAAUACGGAGGAUCCGAGCGUUAUCCGGAUUUAUUGGGUUUAAGGGGAGCGUAGGUGGAUUGUUAAGUCAGUUGUGAAAGUUUGCGGCUCAACCGGAAAAUUGCAGUUGAAACUGGCAGUCUUGAGUACAGUAGAGGUGGGCGGAAUUCGUGGUGUAGCGGUGAAAUGCUUAGAUAUCACGAAGAACUCCGAUUGCGAAGGCAGUUCACUGGACUGCAACUGACACUGAGGCUCGAAAGUGUGGGUAUCAAACAGGAUUAGAUACCCUUGUAGUC
rnacentral:rRNA from 1 species